UAAUUUAUGAAUUAAAUAUUCAGACUCUUAAUCAUUCACUCCUCUUUUGCCCUUUCACCUCCCCUUUUCUCGUCCCUACGAGAGCCUUGUCGUGGAGGCCCUUGUCGCCUCGCUCAUGCGCCUCCACCUCUACCAUAAGCGGUUGGCAUCGCUGUGCUUCAGCACUGGUGCGGGGUUUGAGGUCCGGCACAGUUGUUGCUCACGGUGCUAUUAGGGUUCAUGAACCUUUCCUGCAUGUGCAAGCCUCGACAAUGGAAGGGUUCCUCGAUUUCUGUGAGUGCGACAUAGAGUCAAGUGACGUUGUAUUCUUGUUGGCAAAACCCUCGUCUCUCACUUGUACCUAAGGAACUAAGGCUUUUUAUUUUUCUUCUCUUAUUUCAAAACCCUUUCUAUAUAGCUUGAUAAUUUCAUUUUUAUAUAUGGAGCGGUGGCUGCCGAAGGUAAGUUUUCAUCUUCUUUGAAUAGCAUUGUUGUUAUUGCCUUCUAAAUUUCUGCAUUGUUAUUUUAAUUUGUGCAAAAGAAAAUGUUCACACCCUUGUUUUUAUUUUCUCUGUAUUGCUUCACAGAAGGAGAAUAGAGAGUGCAACCAAGGGUUCAUCUUCGACUCACCAUGAAGCUUGUCAGCUUUUUCUCUUUUUGUUGUGUUACAUGUUAAUUUUUUACUGUUGUAUUUUUUUAGCAUCUCAUUGGGUGCAUUACAAGGUGAUGCAAGUAUAAAUCUGAUUUUAGAAUCAUUCGAUAAACAUGUGAAAGGCCUGCAUUCUGCGCUUAUGAACAAGGAAAGGAUAUUCUACUUGCUUUGUUGGAAAAUCCCAUUUUGGUAUCAGCCUUAAACUCUUUGAAGGCUAACUCAAAGAGGAAGUUCUCAGUAUCUGUUGAGUCUAGUCCAGAGAGAUCAAAAUGGGUUUAUAUAUAUUCCAGAGAGAAUAUGCUACCAUUAACCCCACCCUUGUUGAUGUAAUUUUUUAACCUUUUGUAAUGUCAUUAAACUAAUAUGUAUUACUUCAAAUGUAAUCAUUUCCCUUUUACUUCAGUGGUGAUGUCUAAGAGAUAAUUCAUGUAAAAUUGUAAAUUUAAUUUUAAACUAGUUCACAGUUCAUUAUUGUAUGCAACUAUUAACACUACUAAAUAUUGAGCCUUUUACGUCACUGAUUCUAAGAAGGUUGUAAAGGAUCAUCUUAGAAAGCGCAGCGGUAGCAUUUUCGUAAUUAACUCGAAUGCAACAACGGUGUUUCCACAAACCCUUCGUUGAUGAGGCAUUCGAUGAAAAACUUGUAAAUUUCUUAUUUUGAUACAAAGACGGUCUUGUUCUCACGACCGCCUUUGUGUGGUUGGUGCUGGCUUACACUGCAACUCACCUUGUCUUAGAGAAGACGAAACACAUUCUCUCUCUCUGUGAUAAUCAUAUCUUAAGUAAACAAACAAAAGAAGAAAAAUAAGAAAAGAAAAAGAGAACCAAAUGUUCUUCGCUUUUUCAUUCUAUCGCCAUGUGAUUUCUGACACAUAAUAUUCUUCUUCUCGUGUUCCCUUUUUACUUCAUACCUCGCUGGUUUCCCCUGACUCACCAACUUGGUGAGUCAACUCGAUGGCCUCAUCCUCACGUGCAAGGAGUAGCUCACCAUUCUUGCACCGCAAACCCUCAACUCCUCUUUCCUCAGCUUCCUCUUCCACUUCUUCCUUCACGAACGGACGCAUAAUGCCUCGCUCCUGUUCCUCUUCCACGUCGUUGUUUUACAACUCCGGUGGUGGUGGACGAUCCAUGACUCUGAGUCACGGUCACAGCGAGUCUGUCUACUACGGCUAUAGUAAUCCUUCGCUGGUGGAGUUUGGGAUGGACGAGGAGGUGAUCACGGAGCUCGUGGAUUCGUCCAGAGCUCGAAAUAGCAUUUUGGUCACGAUUCGGUUUAGACCGUUGAGGUAAUGCUUAGAUUUGUUGCUAUGGAAUCAGAUCCAUUAGUUGUGGAUUUUAGAGAAACCGAAUCUUCGAUUUGUUUCUAUUUUUGUCGCGUUGAGUUAUCUAAGAUCAAAUGAGAGGUUAUGGUGUUGUAUAGUUGCAGUGAAAGAGAGUACCAUAGAGGAGACAAGAUCGCGUGGUAUGCAGACGAUGAUAAGAUUGUGCGCAAUGAGUAUAAUCCAGCUACUGCUUAUUCGUUUGGUAUUUUUAUUUCAAACUAUAUUUUCUUCAUGUGACUUUUUUUAGGGAACUAAUGGAGAGAAAUUAGGUUUUUGCUUUUAAUGUUGAGACUAUGGAAAUGGAUCGGAUGUUAGAAUUUUGAAUUGAUUUGUGGCAGAUAGAGUGUUUGGACCACAUACGAAUUCCGACGAGGUGUAUGAAGUAGCUGCCAAACCUGUGGUGAAGACUGCCAUGGAAGGUGUAAAUGGUAUGAAAUCUGGAUUCAAGGCUUUAUAUCAUUAUCACAAUGGGAAUGUGAUAUUUUUAGCAGUGUCUGAUUUAGUAGCAAUAGCAACUAUCGAGUCAUUCUAUUUUUUUAUCUUAGAAACCUACAUUCUAAGAUUUGAUGGAAGCUGCUUUAGUUUCAACUGUGUAUCUAGUUGAAUAACUAGAUUUCAAUAGUUCAUAUGUAGUGGUUGUUGGUUUAGUAUUACAAUGGCUGGUGGAGUUAGCUGGGUUUGGAAGAUAACUUAUGAUCCCAGAGGUAGGUUGUUAUUCUCUGUCUCCUCAUCAAGCCUUAUUCGGAUUCAGGGACUUUUUUAUUUUUUAUAAUUAUAGGAACCCAAUCCAAUUGCAUAUUCAAACUAUAGGAAAUCUGAAUUCUCUAAAAAAGUAUAAGGAAGAGAGCACUUUAAUUUUACUUUCCAAAGUUUAUUUAUGUUCUUGUUCUUAUGGGUUCAUCAAUGAAUACUUUGGUGUUGAGUUUGUAGUGUUUUGUGUUGUAUCAAUUUCGAAAGGAGUAGCGCUAUUCUCAUAGCACCGCAUUACCAAAUCACAAUUUCUGGUAACUGCUUCUGAUUCUAUCCCUAGUUUAACAGUGAAAGUGUUAGUUGGUCUCUACCCCUUUAAAUUUAGAUAGAGCCAUGUGUAGCUGUGACUUCAACAGUUGCAAAUUUUCUAUGGACAUUUUGAUUCUAUUAAACACUGUCCUCUUUCUCUUUAGCUUUCCUUGAUUUUGGUUUGUCAUAAUUUUGUCCAGGUAUUAUACUUUUUCUCCACUACCAUUGGAAGACAACAGUGGUUUAAGUCUUGCACUCCGGGCAAUAAGUAAUCUGAAAGCGAAUGCAUCUAGAUUAACUCAGCAUAACAAUGUAAAGCCUAUUGUCGAUUCCAAUUUUUCUAAGGCUAAACCAGAACAUUCUUUGGACUCACAAUUCAAACCGCCAGAAGCUUCACGACUAGUUUCUAAACUUCAAUCAUCAUUGGUGCUUUCACCAGGAUUUUUUUAUGGCAACGAUUCAGGAAAACCAAGAUCUGUUUGUUGGUACCAAUGAAGCAACAACAUGUGGUGGUCUUGUUAUUUGGCACCCAAAGAAUGGAAGGUAAGGACUAUGGAUUUUUUCUUGGUCUAGACAUAAUUAAGGACUAAGGAUUUGUUGCUAUAUAAAUAAAAAGUUAACUGUAUAUAAGUUUUGAAAAUGUUCCUUCUACCAGGUGUUCAAAUAUUGA